UAUAGAUACUAUUCGAGCCUAACACAUCGGAUCAUUGUUAAGUUCACUUCCAGUAUUUGUAGUCAUGUACUCCGUUCACAGUUUCCAACAAAGAGUGUAUCAUGAUCCACUUUUGAUUGUUGAAUGCACCUUAUGCCAUUAUUUUUAUCCCUUUUAGUAAGCGUAAUCAUAUUAUUUAGCUAUAGUUUUUGGGUAAAAGGUGCA
rnacentral:lncRNA from 1 species